UAAAGUGCUUAUAGUGCAGGUAGUUUGUGAAAAUCCUGAUCUACUGCAAUGUGAGCACUUCAAGU
rnacentral:pre_miRNA from 1 species